CGGCGUCUGAAUGACUAUAACUCUAUAAGGUGACAAAACGACACGGUGUCAACAUCCUUAAAGGGGGGAAGAAGAGUCGUCGUGAUUCGUCGGGUGGCUGGCUCUUUGAUAAAUCUAAACAAUAAACGACGGAAGCAAUCCGAUUCUUCGUAGAUAGGAAUAGCCCGAAUAGACUGGUACUGGGAGUGUUGGACCCACUUCAUCAAUGUUCGUGUCGAUAUUUUCAAUUCUCAUACUCUUCUUUGGUCGC